GACGAACGCUGGCGGCGUGCUUAACACAUGCAAGUCGAACGAAGAGCGAUGGAAGCUUGCUUCUAUCAAUCUUAGUGGCGAACGGGUGAGUAACGCGUAAUCAACCUGCCCUUCGGAGGGGGACAACAGUUGGAAACGACUGCUAAUACCGCAUACGAUCUAAUCUCGGCAUCGAGGAUAGAUGAAAGGUGGCCUCUACAUGUAAGCUAUCACUGAAGGAGGGGAUUGCGUCUGAUUAGCUAGUUGGAGGGGUAACGGCCCACCAAGGCGAUGAUCAGUAGCCGGUCUGAGAGGAUGAACGGCCACAUUGGGACUGAGACACGGCCCAGACUCCUACGGGAGGCAGCAGUGGGGAAUCUUCCGCAAUGGACGAAAGUCUGACGGAGCAACGCCGCGUGAGUGAUGACGGCCUUCGGGUUGUAAAGCUCUGUUAAUCGGGACGAAAGGCCUUCUUGCGAAUAGGGAGAAGGAUUGACGGUACCGGAAUAGAAAGCCACGGCUAACUACGUG
rnacentral:rRNA from 1 species